ensembl:snRNA U6 U6 spliceosomal RNA
GUGCUCACUUUAGCAGAAUAAUCUAAAAUUGGAACAAUACAGAGACAAUUAGUGUGGCCUUGGACAAGGAUGAUAUGCAAAUUCAUGAAGCAUUUAUGUUUUUA